AUCGCUUCUCGGCCUUUUGGCUAAGAUCAAGUGUAGUAUCUGUUCUUAUCAGUUUAAUAUCUGAUACGCCCCCGAUUCGGGGCAACGUAUUAAACGCAUUUUUAGAACAGGGAGCUGAAUAAGGGGCUCGCUCCGUUCGCUCCACGCAUCGACCCGGUAUUGCAGCGCCUCCGGGAACGGUGCCCCCUUU
ensembl:snRNA U2 U2 spliceosomal RNA